rnacentral:lncRNA from 1 species
AAAUCCCUGUCCUAGUAAGAGCAGAGUGCUUAGCCUGAGGACAACUCAGAGUCCAGCAAGGAGGGCUGGGAUUCACACUGAGCACGUGUGUCUGCCCAGGCUUGGGAUGUUUUCUGGGAUGGACUACCUGAAAUUCAUCAGGUCCACAUCCGUGUGUGUGAAAGUGCAUGACAAGAACAUUGGAUGAUGUCACAUAUCUUCCUCUACAAAUAUACAUGCUGUUAUAUGAGACAGGGUAAUUUAAUGUUCAGGCUUUGUUAAUAAAAUGGCGACCUCACCCCAGGUACAAGCUCCCAAUUGCUAGAAUAGUGUGCUCAGUGCAGUGGGAAAACAUGGUGGUUCCUCAUGCUACAUCUAAGUACAUGGGAAGAAGCUGGAGAGAGGUGUGGUCAGCCUCUGUUACCUCAUAUAGGCUGUUGCCAUGGUUAAAGGCUGUGGUGUUAGUGUGAGGAAGCUCAGAGAUGGGCUGGGAUCUGGAAGGAACUGCAGGUGUGUUGGGCUGUAUGUUGGGAGAAAUAUAUACAGAUCCCGCGAUGAAGUCCUGAUUUCACCUCAGUGUGUUGUACUGGGCAAUAGAAGGUGGUAAAGGGUGUGAGGCACAAUGUGGUCCUUGAAGUGGUUUUUAACAGGACCCAUGCUAUAGCAGUACAGAUGGUUGUAGUCAGUAUCAGAGGGAUGUGUGCCAGGGAAUUGCCAAACAAGGACUCAGGGAAAUGAGACUCACCGAUCGAACACAUCAGGAGUCCUGGUAAGAAGCCUAAACAGCAGGGAAUACAAGCAAGUCUGCAGAGUGGCGUGCCAUAUAAAAUCUCUGGGAGAGAACACUAUACACAUGCUAUGAAGAGAUGCCUCUGGGAGAAAAUGCCAGUGAGCAUCUGGUCUAAGACUCAAGGCUGGAGCCUACAGAAGGUUAAAGACCAACUUACACUACCCACCCUCAGUCAACACAUGCAGCACAAAGUAGUUAGGAAGGUUUUUCCAGUAAACAGCACAAUCUCCAGGUUUACAGUGUGAUCAAACAAACAAGGUGUUAACAAUUUGUUCCCAAAAAAUGAUCUUAAAAGUUUUCAGGUAUUUCCCCUAAAGUACCAGUCCAAAAAACACCUGUGUGCCUGGACAGCCUUUGAACUUGCCCAAACACAGUGAAGCUUGGCCUCUGUGACCUCACUGAAGGGGUGACUGUCAUUGUUAUGGGUGUGUCCUAGUUCUGAGGGCAGCAGAGUCCAUUAUAUAGUAGGGGGUGGCAGGGAUCCCUUUUAGGUAAGUUGGUAUGGAAGAUCUUUGGAUGAAGACCCAAUCUCACAUCAGCAUAUGUACUUGAUAGGGGGCUUUUCUUUAAAGGAGUGACUAAGGCACAAUUCAGUGUCUGAGGGGUUUUGAUGUACAAGACAGAUGUGAUCUUGAGAAUAGUUGCAAUAUCAAGGACCAAAAGGACACCCUUGCAAAGCAUAGCCAUUCGUGACAUACAGAGAAAGCACACCAUUCCCACACAGGGUAAAAAGGUCUUGUGAAGAUCUGCAAAGCCUCCAAUGCCUUAGCAAGGCAUCCUCUAGACUCAUAAACACUCACCUCUUUUGUU